GUGGGGAAUCUUGCGCAAUGGGCGAAAGCCUGACGCAGCCAUGCCGCGUGAAUGAUGAAGGUCUUAGGAUUGUAAAAUUCUUUCACCGGGGACGAUAAUGACGGUACCCGGAGAAGAAGCUCUGGCUAACUUCGUGCCAGCAGCCGCGGUAAUACGAAGGGGGCUAGCGUUGCUCGGAAUUACUGGGCGUAAAGGGCGCGUAGGCGGACAGCUUAGUCAGAGGUGAAAGCCCAGUGCUCAACCUUGGAAUUGCCUUUGAUACUGGCUGUCUUGAGUUUGGGAGAGGUGAGUGGAACUCCGAGUGUAGAGGUGAAAUUCGUAGAUAGUCGGAAGAACACCAGUGGCGAAGGCGACUCACUGGCCCAAUACUGACGCUGAGGCGCGAAAGCGUGGGGAGCAAACAGGAUUAGAAACCCGGGUAGUCC
rnacentral:rRNA from 1 species